rnacentral:rRNA from 1 species
UACGAAGGGGGGCUAGCGUUGCUCGGAAUCACUGGGCGUAAAGCGCACGUAGGCGGCUUUUUAAGUCAGGGGUGAAAUCCCAGAGCUCAACUCUGGAACUGCCUUUGAUACUGGGUAUCUCGAGUAUGGAAGAGGUGAGUGGAAUUCCGAGUGUAGAGGUGAAAUUCGUAGAUAUUCGCAAGAACACCAGUGGCGAAGGCGGCUCACUGGCCCGGUACUGACGCUGAGGUGCGAAAGCGUGGGGAGCAAACAGG